rnacentral:rRNA from 1 species
GAUGAACGCUGACAGAAUGCUUAACACAUGCAAGUCUACUUGAACUUCGGUUUGGGUGGCGGACGGGUGAGUAACGCGUAAAGAACUUGCCUCACAGAUAGGGACAACAUUUGGAAACGAAUGCUAAUACCUGAUAUUAUGAUUUUAGGGCAUCCUAGAAUUAUGAAAGCUAUAUGCACUGUGAGAGAGCUUUGCGUCCCAUUAGCUAGUUGGAGAGGUAACGGCUCACCAAGGCGAUGAUGGGUAGCCGGCCUGAGAGGGUGAUCGGCCACAAGGGGACUGAGACACGGCCCUUACUCCUACGGGAGGCAGCAGUGGGGAAUAUUGGACAAUGGACCAAGAGUCUGAUCCAGCAAUUCUGUGUGCACGGUGAAGUUUUUCGGAAUGUAAAGUGCUUUCAGUUGGGAAGAAAAAAAUGACGGUACCAACAGAAGAAGUGACGGCUAAAUACGUG